rnacentral:rRNA from 1 species
UAGAAUUGACGGGGCCCGCACAAGCGGUGGAGCAUGUGGUUAAUUCGACGCAACGCGAAGAACCUUACCAGGGCUUGACAUCCCCUGACCGCGUAUGAAAGUACGUUUUCACCCUCGGGUGACAGGGAGACAGGUGGUGCAUGGUUGUCGUCAGCUCGUGUCGUGAGAUGUUGGGUUAAGUCCCGCAACGAGCGCAACCCCUACGUUUAGUUGCUAACAGGUGAAGCUGAGCACUCUAGACGAACUGCCGUUGACAAAACGGAGGAAGGUGGGGAUGACGUCAAAUCAUCAUGCCCCUUAUGUUCUGGGCUACACACGUGCUACAAUGGCCGGUACAGACGGAGGCGAAGCCGCGAGGCGGAGCAAAUCCGAAAAAGCCGGUCUCAGUUCGGAUUGCAGGCUGCAAUUCGCCUGCAUGAAGUCGGAAUCGCUAGUAAUCGCAGGUCAGCAUACUGCGGUGAAUACGUUCCCGGGCCUU